CUACGGGAGGCAGCAGUGGGGAAUAUUGCACAAUGGGCGCAAGCCUGCUGCAGCCAUGCCGCGUGUGUGAAGAAGGCCUUCGGGUUGUAAAGCACUUUCAGCGGGGAGGAAGGCGUUAAGGUUAAUAACCUUGUCGAUUGACGUUACCCGCAGAAGAAGCACCGGCUAACUCCGUGCCAGCAGCCGCGGUAAUACGGAGGGUGCAAGCGUUAAUCGGAAUUACCGGGCGUAAAGCGCACGCAGGCGGUCUGUCAAGUCGGAUGUGAAAUCCCCGGGCUCAACCUGGGAACUGCAUUCGAAACUGGCAGGCUAGAGUCUUGUAGAGGGGGGUAGAAUUCCAGGUGUAGCGGUGAAAUGCGUAGAGAUCUGGAGGAAUACCGGUGGCGAAGGCGGCCCCCUGGACAAAGACUGACGCUCAGGUGCGAAAGCGUGGGGAGCAAACAGGAUUAGAUACCCCAGUAGUC
rnacentral:rRNA from 1 species